rnacentral:tRNA from 1 species
GGAGGGUACAGCUCAGUGGUAGAGUGUGUGCUUAGCAUGCACAAGGUCCUGGGUUCAAUCCCCAGUACCUCCA